AGGAAUGCCCUUUCAGGAGCUGUAGGGUCAGAGAGAACUGGGGGAAAGGGUUCUCUACAGUAGCCAGACAGAAAGACUUGAGUGGAAUUGUGCAAUGAGGGGCAGAAGCCUUAAGAAGCUUGAGGAAACUCCAGGGAGCAAGAUCUGUGUUUUGUGAAAGAACUGUUGAGCUCAGCAAAGGACUGAAUUAACGGCAUUUGGGGUAAUAGAAAAGGUUUAUGAAAGCUGUUUUCUGGAGGCUUAUGGUCUGCAUCAUCAUCACUGAUCACAUCUCCACCAUGCAGAUGUCUUCAGAAGAUGGACACUUCUUGCUGGCCCCAGAAUGCCUGCUAGCACAAUAGCAGCAGCAGACAGUCUACAUGUUGUGCUCUCUCUGUAUUGUUGUAGUUGUUUAUAAUUCUCGG